UUCAUUUGCUCCCACUAAUGGGUUGAUACGCAUGUGGCAAUAAAUCCAUCAUUAUUGAUUUAAUUGUUUGAUUUUCUAAGCAUUUUUGUAUUUUAAGUAUGUUGUUGUACAAUAAUUUCAUUUGCUCCCUCUAAUGGGUUGAUACCCAUGUGGCCAUGAAUCCAUCAUUAUUGAUUUAAUUGUUUGAUUUUCUAAGCACUUUUUUUUUAACAUUGUUUGUUUUUUUUAAUAUGGGAUUCACUUUUUUUUUUAAUAUUGCUUGAUUUUGUAAGUAUGGGAUCCAUUUUUUUUCCCGUGAGUUUGGAUGUGGUGGGUUCCAUUUUUUUUCUUUUUUUUUAUUACUGUUGGUGUUUAAUAUGGGGCCCACAAUUUUUAAAAAAAAUAUUAGUAGUUGUUUAAAAUAUGUGGGCCCACAAUUUAAAAAAAAAAUUAGUAGUUGUUUAAAAUAUGUGGGCCCACAAUUUGUUUUUUUAAAUAUUAGUAGUUGUUUAAAAUAUGUGGGCUCACAAUUUUUUUUUGAGCCCACAAACGGACGACGAAAAAGUGCCCAAACCCCCGUUUCUAUAUAGUAGUAAUAUAUAAGUAUUUCAAGUAUGUUGUUGUACAAUAAUUUCAUUUGCUCCCACUAAUGGGUUGAUACGCAUGUGGCAAUGAAUCCAUCAUUAUUGAUUUAAUUGUUUGAUUUUCUAAGCACUUUUUUUUAACAUUGCUUGAUUUUGUUAAUAUGGGGUCCACUUUUUUUUCCCGUGAGUUUGGAUGUGGUGGGUUCCACUUUUUUUUCUCUCCUUUUUUUUUAAUACUGGUUGGUGUUUAAUAUGGAGGCCAAUUUUUUUUUUUUUUUUAAAUACUAAUUGUUGUUUUUUAAUAUAUAUGGGCCCAUAAUUUUUUAACUUGGAAUGACGACCAAAAAGGAGCCAGUUGGACGACGAAAAAGAUGCCCAACCGGCUCUUCUAAAUAGUUAGAAAUUUAUCAUUGCUUUAAUUAACAUUAAACAUUAUUAUCAAUCUUUAAUAUUCAUAAGUUUCGACAAAAUGGAGAUUUUGGUUUACGAAUAUUACUACUCCCUCCGUCCAUUUUUACUUGUCUUAUAUUGACUUGACACACUCCUUAAGGAGCAAUAAAUAAAAUGAUAAUUUUAUUAUAUCACCCUGAAUUAUUACUAAGUAUUCUAAUCUAUGUAUAAUAUAAAGUUAGACAUAGACAAGGUGAUGUGACACCUCUCAAUGACCACCAUUCAUAUUUUUUUUUUUUUUAUUUUUUUGCAUUUUCACUAAUUCUUCUCAUUUAAUAUUGAAAAAGUCCAAAAUCCAUUAUUAAUAAAGAAACAUCCGGUUACAUAAUUCAAAAGUCGCUAUCACUGUAUCACAUGUUACCAAUUACCACCGUCACUAAUAGUCCAAAAGUGUCUACAGGCUUAUGCUUUACUAAUAGUUACAACCGUUUCUUUUCUAUCUGUUAGUUAAAUCUUUCACAUUUUUUAACUUUUAACAAUAGUGGGUUAUUUUCUCCUCCUCUAUAAUUGACUGCUUAUUUAUUGUUGUAACAUAACGGUUGAGGCAAUAAUUAUAACUCCUGAGGGCAACUAAUUGUAGCAUUAAACGACAAAACAAAUAGUCAUGUUUUCCCAAAAUAAAAUUUCUCUACCCACUAUAUAAAUUGGCCUUCACGGAGAGUAUAUUCAGUUCAUACCAUUGGAACAACAAUCUUACUUUCGAUUUCUUCAUUAAUAGUGAUUGCUGGCAUUAUGAUGAGGCUUUGGAUAAGCCCAACCAAUGUCACGGGGAACGUCUUUGUUUAUUCACUAAGGGUUGAAAUACUCAUGUUGGAGCCUGGAGGAGUUUUAAGCUUGCAAGUUACUUGUAACGCCCAUGGAAGGAAUGGUCUACACCAUAGUACUGUUCAUGGAAAAUGAUUUGGGUGAUUUCGUUAGGCGAGAAGGAUGGAUGUUAUGGUAGGAUGAAUCAUUCAGACAAACAUAUGAAUAUAUACCAUGAUUAUGAAUUCGUCAACAUAACAUGUGGCCAUAUAUAUAUAUAUAUAUAUGAUGUGGCACCCCUAUUAGAUCAUCGUUGAUAUUUAUUUAUUUUUGUCAGCUUUUUGACAUUUUUCUCUUAUAUUCCCUCAAAUAUUUACUGAAAAUUAAAAACACUCUAUCAAUUAGUCUAUAAUUGUCCACAUUCAUUAACUGAAUUAAAGGAAAAUUAAUGAAUAAAGAAUUAGUGGAGAGUAAAAGCAAUUAUAAGAAGUUACUAUCGUUACUAAAUCCCGUGACUUAAGUUGAUUAGUAUAUGAAUAUACUUUCUUCUGAUUACAAUUUGAGGCUUUUUAGGUUCAAUUAUGAUUAUAUUGUUAGCAAAUGUGACUGAGCAAUGCCAUAUUCUACUAUUUGGUCUUGCAGGUUCUAAUUCCUCUAAAAUUCCCCAUUUUUGUGUUCUAACAAGUGUAAGUAUUCCAUCUUAUAGUUGUUGGAAAAGCAGUGUUGAUACCCUUUCUACUCCAAGAUCUGAAGGCGAAAGUUUGUUCCCUCCAAUGUUAAGUCCUUCUCUUUUAAUGGAUUGAAGAGUGCAACAAGGAAUUUUAGACCUAACAGAGGAAGGAGAGGAAAGAAGAUGUGUCUAAGCUUUUAAAUUCCAGAUGAACACUUCUAGGGUUCAUUGAAAUGUGUUGGAGGAUAUAAUCCUGGAAGGAUCUUGACCUCUUAUUUGAGUAUCAAUAUAUAUGUGUUUAUGACAAGCAUAUGCCUUUUUUUAUAUACCUAUUAUUUUUAUUUGGCAUUGCAAUUCUUCUGAGUUUUUAAUUUUCUUUGUUUUUGUAUCAAAUUGAUGUUCUUAGAAAGAGGCUUGAGGCUAACAAAUACGUGUUGUGUUUUUAUUCCCCUUUUUUAUCGCUCUC